CAGUAGCCGCGGUAAUACGGAGGGUGCAAGCGUUAUCAGGAUUUAUUGGGUUUAAAGGGUCCGUAGGCGGACUUAUAAGUCAGUGGUGAAAGCCUGUCGCUUAACGAUAGAACUGCCAUUGAUACUGUAAGUCUUGAGUAUAUUUGAGGUAGCUGGAAUAAGUAGUGUAGCGGUGAAAUGCAUAGAUAUUACUUAGAACACCAAUUGCGAAGGCAGGUUACCAAGAUAUAACUGACGCUGAGGGACGAAAGCGUGGGUAGCGAACAGGAUUAGAUACCCCUGUAGUCCCUGUCUCUUAUAC
rnacentral:rRNA from 1 species